rnacentral:rRNA from 1 species
ACGGAGGUCCCUAGCGUUGGUCGGAAUCACUGGGCUUAAAGCGCGUGUAGGCGGGGUGACAAGUACCUUGUGAAAUCCCCGGGCUCAACCCGGGAAUGGCUCGGUAUACUGUCACUCUUGAGGCAGGUAGAGGUCACUGGAACCUUAGGUGGAGCGGUGAAAUGCGUAGAUAUCUAAGGGAACGCCUGUGGCGAAAGCGGCUCUCUGGAACGGUACUGACGCUGAGACGGGAAAGCGUGGGGAGCGAACAGGA